rnacentral:rRNA from 1 species
UACGUAGGUGGCAAGCGUUGUCCGGAUUUAUUGGGUUUAAAGGGUGCGUAGGCGGCAUUUUAAGUCAGUGGUGAAAUACGGCAGCUCAACUGUCGAGGUGCCAUUGAUACUGGGAUGCUUGAGUACUGAUGAGGUAGGCGGAAUGGACGGUGUAGCGGUGAAAUGCUUAGAUAUCGUCCAGAACACCGAUAGCGAAGGCAGCUUACUAAGGAGUAACUGACGCUGAUGCACGAAAGUGUGGGGAUCAAACAGG